rnacentral:rRNA from 1 species
UAUUGCAUGGCGCAUGCUUACACAUGCAGUCGAACGGUGAAGCGGGUGCUUGCACUCGUGGAUCAGUGGCGAACGGGUGAGAAACACGUGAGUAACCUGCCCUCCACUCUGGGAUAAGCGCUGGAAACGGCGUCUAAUACUGGAUACGACCGACCCUCGCAUGGGGUGUUGGUGGAAAGAUUUAUCGGUGGUGGAUGGACUCGCGGCCUAUCAGCUUGUUGGUGGGGUAAUGGCCUACCAAGGCGACGACGGGUAGCCGGCCUGAGAGGGCGACCGGCCACACUGGGACUGAGACACGGCCCAGACUCCUACGGGAGGCAGCAGUGGGGAAUAUUGCACAAUGGGCGAAAGCCUGAUGCAGCGACGCCGCGUGAGGGAUGACGGCCUUCGGGUUGUAAACCUCUUUCAGCAGGGAAGAAGCUUUUGUGACGGUACCUGCAGAAGAAGCACCGGCUAACUACGUGCCAGCAGCCGCGGUAAUACGUAGGGUGCGAGCGUUGUCCGGAAUUAUUGGGCGUAAAGAGCUUGUAGGCGGUUUUGUCGCGUCUGCUGUGAAAAUUCAGGGCUUAACCCUGGACGUGCAGUGGGUACGGGCAUACUAGAGUGUGGUAGGGGAGACUGGAAUUCCUGGUGUAGCGGUGGAAUGCGCAGAUAUCAUGAGGAACUCCUAUUGCGAAAGCAU